rnacentral:rRNA from 1 species
CCUACGGGAGACAGCAGUGGGGAAUAGUGGGCAAUGGGCGCAAGCCUGACCCAGCAACGCCGCGUGAAGGAAGAAGGCUUUCGGGUUGGAAACUUCUUUUAAGGGGGAAGAGGAGAAGACGGGACCCCUGGAAUAAGCCACGGCUAACGACGGGCCAGCAGCCGCGGUAAUACGUAGGUGGCAAGCGUUGUCCGGAUUUACUGGGUGUAAAGGGCGUGCAGCCGGGAGGACAAGUCAGAUGUGAAAUCCCGCGGCUCAACCGCGGAACUGCCUUUGAAACUGUUUUUCGUGAGUACCGGAGAGGUCCUCGGACUUCCUUGUGUAGCGGUGAACUGCUUAGAUAUCA